AUGCAAAACAUUCCCCAAGCUCCCGCUGAGAUAAGUCCGGUGUUGAGUGUCGCCUCUGCCCCAUUGAACUCCGGCUUUUCACUUUUCCUGCCUUUUUUUUUUUUUUUUUUUUCUUGUGGUUUGUUUUGUUUUUUUUUCAGCCGGGUUCUGGGUGUUUUUGGUUUUCUUUUCCUGGCUGGAGGGUCCUGGAGACCUUCGUCCCUGCAGCUGCUGGAAAGUCACCGGAUCCAGUUUGGUUCCAGCUGGUCCGACACCAUCCCGAUGAGCCGCUGGCUUGAUUUUCAACGAUCCAGGGAAACUUCGCAAACCUGGCUCUAAAUAAAUUAACCCGUGCAGCCGCUCGCGGGACAUCGCAUCCUCGAAAUUUUUGGAGGUGAAUCACAGCUUCCUGGUGGGUUAUUCCCUAAUUUUCUUCCCAAUAUCCCUUUCUCUCGGCACAUUUUUUUUUUUAGGGAGAUCACAUCCAUCUGCCUUGUCAUGAUCAAAUAAGAAUUUGGGGAGAAAAAGGCAUUUGGGGCUGGUACCUUCCCCAAACCAGCCUGGGGAUCUCAGUCCCCACUGCCUAAACCCUCACUCCUGGAUCUUCCCGUGAUCCACAUUCCCAGUGGGCACAUCCUGGGGGUCACUGCACCUUUUCCCACCUGUGCUGGGGCUGGUUGGGAAAGCAGAGCUGGCUUUGGGGGCUGUGUGGGGUUUUGUGGGAGCGCAUGGGUGUCACCCCAGGACCCAGCGCGGUGCCUGUGAGGUGACUGCGAUCGUCUCCUGCUCCGGGAUCCUUUCCCCACUUCUAUGGCAGAGCAAAGGCAGCAAUUUAGGAUUCCCAAAUUUCCCCUUUGCCCUCUCCUUUUGGUUCUAUUUUGGGGUGCAACAGCCUGGGAGGAAUCCCAGGUUAUUUUGGCAAUCCAGGUAUUAUCCCUUCCUCUUUUUCCUGAAGGGAUCCCCAAUUCCUUGCACCACUGUGAUUUAUUUUUUUAGUUCCUGGCUGAUUUUUUUUCCCCCCAAACCCUCCUUUAAACUCCCUAAUAGCUGGAGCAGGACACAGAGUCUUGCUGCCACCCAUUAAUGCUGCUCCUCCACAGGGGACCCCAACCCACAGUUUUUUGGGAGAUUGAGGGUGGAAUUGCACCAUUCUGCCCCAUCAUCUUGACUUUCUCUGUGCUUCUGAAGCUCCUGGCUUUCUGGGAUUAGGCUUUGCUGAAUAAAUAAUAAAAACUAAAGUGGUUU
rnacentral:lncRNA from 1 species